ACGGUCGCAAGGUGAAACUCAAAGGAAUUGACGGGGGCCCGCACAAGCGGUGGAGCAUGUGGUUCAAUUCGACGCAACGCGAAGAACCUUACCUGGGCUCGAACGGCUCUCGAACUUUCGUGGAAACACGGAUAUCCCGCAAGGGACUAGAGUCGAGGUGCUGCAUGGCUGUCGUCAGCUCGUGUCGUGAGAUGUUGGGUUAAGUCCCGCAACGAGCGCAACCCUUGCCCUGUUUUGCCAUCAUUAAGUUGGGAACUAUCAGGGGACCGCCAGCGAUAAGUUGGAGGAAGGUGGGGAUGACGUCAAGUCAUCAUGGCCUUUAUGUCCAGGGCUACACACGUGCUACAAUGGACGGUACAAAGCGCCGCGAAACCGCGAGGUGGAGCAAAUCGCAAAAAGCCGUUCUCAGUUCGGAUUGCAGGCUGCAACUCGCCUGCAUGAAGCUGGAAUCGCUAGUAAUGGCAGAUCAGCAUGCUGCCGUGAAUACGUUCCCGGGCCUUGUACACACCGCCCGUCACAUCACGAAAGUGGGUUGUACUAGAAGUCUGUGCGCCAACCGCAAGGAGGCCACGGCCCAAGGUAUGACUCAUGAUUGGGGUG
rnacentral:rRNA from 1 species